UACGUAGGUGGCAAGCGUUGUCCGGAAUUAUUGGGCGUAAAGCGCGCGCAGGUGGUUUCUUAAGUCUGAUGUGAAAGCCCCCGGCUCAACCGGGGAGGGUCAUUGGAAACUGGGGAACUUGAGUGCAGAAGAGGAUAGUGGAAUUCCAAGUGUAGCGGUGAAAUGCGUAGAGAUUUGGAGGAACACCAGUGGCGAAGGCGACUAUCUGGUCUGUAACUGACACUGAGGCGCGAAAGCGUGGGGAGCAAACAGG
rnacentral:rRNA from 1 species